GGUGGCUCAGUGGUAGAGCGCUUGCCUUACAUGCAUAAAGCCCUGGGUUCAAUUCCUCAGUACCA
rnacentral:tRNA from 1 species